GGUCUCAUAGCUCAGCUGGUAUAGCGUGCGCUGCACAAAAGCGUAGGUGCCGUCCAUGCGUGGGUUCGAAUCCCAUCGAGACUU
rnacentral:tRNA from 1 species